rnacentral:rRNA from 1 species
GACGAACGCUGGCGGCGUGCUUAACACAUGCAAGUCGAACGGUGAAGCGAGUGCUUGCACUCGUGGAUCAGUGGCGAACGGGUGAGUAACACGUGAGUAACCUGCCCAUCACUCUGGGAUAAGCACUGGAAACGGUGUCUAAUACUGGAUACGACCAACCCUUGCAUGGUGUGUUGGUGGAAAGAUUUAUCGGUGAUGGAUGGACUCGCGGCCUAUCAGCUUGUUGGCGGGGUAAUGGCCCACCAAGGCGACGACGGGUAGCCGGCCUGAGAGGGUGACCGGCCACACUGGGACUGAGACACGGCCCAGACUCCUACGGGAGGCAGCAGUGGGGAAUAUUGCACAAUGGGCGAAAGCCUGAUGCAGCGACGCCGCGUGAGGGAUGACGGCCUUCGGGUUGUAAACCUCUUUCAGCAGGGAAGAAGCGAAAGUGACGGUACCUGCAGAAGAAGCACCGGCUAACUACGUG